CAUAUUACUGAACAAAAAUAAACGUGCUCGUUUUAGUUUUAAAAUUGAAAAAAAAUUUCAAGAUUUUCGUUAAUUGAAUAAGAAACAUGCUCAUUUUAGUUUUAAAAUUUGAAAAAAAAAUUUCGUAUUCUAAAUAUAAAUUUUGGCUAACCUUCGUAUAUCGUUUUAAUUCAUGGAACGUAAAAAUAAAUCGGAUUAUUUAUUAUAUACAGAUCAUAGAUAAACGAGUAUUAAGCAUAGAGAUAUUAAUAUCUCUAUGGUAUUAAGAGCGUACUCUUUACGUAUGAUCAAGGAUAUCGAUUCAGUUCUAUGGUUCAGAACAAUUAUUGACAGGUAAGCGAACAAGAAACUAGAAAUUCGUAGUUGAAUUUUUAAAUAUCGUAGUAGACUAUGCUGUUUAUUUGAAAAAGUUAGUUUAAUAUUAAAAGAUGGAAGACAAAGAUUUUGAAAUAUUGAUAAAAAUGACGAAAAAAUUUCAAGAUGAAACCCAAAAAGCAAAUAAAUUAUUGAUGAGUUCGAAAAAUACAUCGAAAACAAAUAACCAUGAAGAAGAAAUGUCUGAAGAUACGGAAUUGUUACAGUCUUCGACUAAAUAUACAGACGACGUUAAUAUACAAAAAAUGAAAGCGAUUAUUAGAAUUCAAACUUUGUCUUCUCUAAUAACUAGUCAUUUAUUACGAAAAUCGAAACGUUAAAAGUUUGUGUUCAGUUUUAUUGUAAGUGUAAAGUUGAAAUUUUUAGGUUAUGUUUUGAACAAUGUGUAGUGAGAUAAGUGAUAUAAACAUUCAAUUUAAUAUUAAAAGAAGUUGUAGGAGUUUCGUAACAAGACAGCCGGUGGUCUAGGAUUUGUUUAUCGUAUUUAACAGUUAACAGAACACCAUGCCAGUAGCAUUUUUAUCUCUUUGGGAAUAUAAACAAUACCGGCCUUCAUUCUUCAGUAGGUUCGUAACUGGUGCGUUAUAUUUAUCGAAAAUCCUUGGAUCGGAUUCCAUUUUCCCAGGGUUCUGCAUAUGGUUCACUAUUUAGAAACAGCGAGUGCUGAAGUAAAUGUUGACAAAAUAAUGUAAUUAAAAAAAAAUUCUUCAAAAUAAACUAUUCGGAAGA